rnacentral:lncRNA from 1 species
UUGCCUCUUGCCACACAGAUGUUGCAGGCAAGUGUGAAACCCUCUGCUCUUUGCUUCUGUGCAGGUGCUGCAGGAAGAGCAGAAUGAGAAGAGGGCUUUAACAGAGACACUGCUCCAAACUCGGGGACAGCUCAGCCAAGCGUGCCAGCAGGUCCAGCAGCUCAGGCAGGAGGUGAAAGAGCAGCAAGAGAAGGGACAGACCAUCAAGGCAAAGCUGCAAGCUGAGCUGCAGGAAGCUCACAAUGAAAUGCUGGCAGUGCAGAGGAGGCACAAGGAAGAAUUUCAGGGCAUCAGAGAGAGGAGAUGAAUGUCCUCCUUGAGCAGAGGGAUGCUCUACAAAAGCAAGCUGAUUCUGUCUCUGGAGGAAAAGAGCAUGGAUCUCAGAAUGCUGGAACAAAGG